UAGUCCACGCCGUAAACGAUGGUCACUAGCUGUGCGGUUUUCGGACUGCGUGGCCAAGCGAAAGUGAUAAGUGACCCACCUGGGGAGUACGUCGGCAACGAUGAAACUCAAAGGAAUUGACGGGGGCCCGCACAAGCGGUGGAGCAUGUGGUUUAAUUCGAUGAUACGCGAGGAACCUUACCAGGGCUUAAAUGUAGAGUGACAGGUCUAGAGAUAGAUUUUUCUUCGGACACUUUACAAGGUGCUGCAUGGUUGUCGUCAGCUCGUGCCGUGAGGUGUUGGGUUAAGUCCCGCAACGAGCGCAACCCUUGUUUCCAGUUGCCAGCACAUAAUGGUGGGGACUCUGGAGAGACUGCCGGCGCAAGGCCGCGAGGGAAGGUGGGGACGACGUCAAAUCAUCAUGGCCUUUAUGCCUGGGGGCUACACACGUGCUACAAUGGGUAGGUACAGAGGGGCAGGCGAAGCGGGCGACGGUGGGAGCCAAUCCCUUAAAGCCUAUCCCAGUUCGGGAUUGGGA
rnacentral:rRNA from 1 species